rnacentral:rRNA from 1 species
CAAUACGACUCUCGGCAACGGAUAUCUCGGCUCUCGCAUCGAUGAAGAACGUAGCGAAAUGCGAUACUUGGUGUGAAUUGCAGAAUCCCGUGAACCAUCGAGUCUUUGAACGCAAGUUGCGCCCCAAGCCGUUAGGCUGAGGGCACGCCUGCCUGGGUGUCACGC